rnacentral:rRNA from 1 species
UACGUAGGGGGCAAGCGUUAUCCGGAUUUACUGGGUGUAAAGGGAGCGUAGACGGUGAUGCAAGUCAGAAGUGAAAGCCCGGGGCUCAACUCCGGGACUGCUUUUGAAACUGUACAGCUUGAUUGCAGGAGAGGCAAGUGGAAUUCCUAGUGUAGCGGUGAAAUGCGUAGAUAUAUGGAAGAACACCAGUGGCGAAAGCGGCUUACUGGACUGUAACUGACGUUGAGGCUCGAAAGCGUGGGGAGCAAACAGG